rnacentral:rRNA from 1 species
UACGUAGGGGCAAGCGUUGUCCGGAAUCAUUGGGCGUAAAGCGCGUGUAGGCGGCUCGGUAAGUCCGCUCUGAAAGCCCGGGGCUCAACCCCGGGAGGCGGGUGGAUACUGUCGAGCUCGAGUCCGGAAGAGGAGUGUGGAAUUCCUGGUGUAGCGGUGAAAUGCGCAGAUAUCAGGAGGAACACCAAUGGCGAAGGCAGCACUCUGGGACGUUACUGACGCUGAGACGCGAAAGCGUGGGGAGCAAACAGG